rnacentral:misc_RNA from 1 species
CGCACAUUGCGCCCUUUGGUAUUCCGAAGGGCAUGCCCGUUCGAGCGUCAUUUCAACCCUCAAGCUCUGCUUGGUCUUGGACGCCGCGUCCCUCGCGCGUCCCGAAGUCCCUGGCCCUACGGCCUGCCCCUGAGCGUUGUGGCACUGAUGUUUCCGCUCCAGGUGUGCAGGGGGUAGUCGGCCGACUGAACACCCUUCUGACAGGUUGACCUCGGAUCGGGUAGGGAUACCCGCUGAACUUAA